UCGAUGCCACAGAAACAUCUAGAAAGGAAAGGGCCCUCUUGCCAUGUUAGGCUUCUCCAGACCCACCUCUAAGCACAGAGACUGACCAGGCCACACAUACAGCACCAUCAGCCCAUGCCUACGACUUUAGGACUGGUCCCAGGUUACCUGGAGGCGCUAAACCAACACUCCAAGGUCAAACGCAGCAUCUACGGCCCACCCCGGAGGACAGGGGGGCCCCGGGCCGGCGUCAGACAGGGGCGGGGCAGGAUCGAUGGGGAAGAGGAAGUUCCCCCCGGCAAACGCAGGACAAAAGUAUUAUGCCAUCCGCUUGCCCCGGACACGCGCCGCUGAGAAAGAAAGAGGAGAGGCAGCCGAGCACACGCCCUCUGCGAGGGAAUGUCAAGAGCGUACCGGGGCGGGGGCUCACACACUGCUGCCGGAGAGCGGAAGGGCUGGACACCCGCUGCAGCGCUGCGGAAUCUGGCUCCGGCCGCUGGAAACGGACCAUCCCCCUCCACUCCCAGCUCCGCCGAAACAGAGCCCAGGCUCCCCGCGCCGAGUCACAAGGCGCCACCCAUGAUUCCUGAGGAGACACAGCAGCGAGUGUGCCGUGGUACGGGACUCCACUGCGCCCUGCCUCCCUCAGGGGCAGAUCUGCACUGUGAAGGAGCCUGACUACAAGAUCAGCCAUGGACACUACACCCUGGUUGUCACUGCCACAAACCAGUGUCCAAUCCCAACACGCUGUCUCACCACCACUACAACGGGACUCUGAUAAGCAGAGAGAAUAAAAGGAGCAAAGCACUGAGGAAAGGAGAGUGAGAAGAGGCAGAGUUACCAAGUGAUGGGCAGGUAAGGCUAACUAGCUUUCUCCGCCCCCACCCCCGUGAAGAAUCUGAAUUUGCCAGGAAAUAAAGACGGCAGAGAAGUGAAGAGGGCGAGAGAGGGAGAUGUUGAGGGUCUGGACUUGGACAUGUUGGGGAGUUCACCUGGGACUAGGGGGAAUGGGUGAUACUAUGGCGAUGGACUGUAUAGUAUAGCAGGCUAAGAGCCACCAUUUUUACUGCACUAAAGUGAGAAUUUCACAUCAGCAAGGGCAGAAUGCUGCAAGCAAUGGUCGGGUCAAAGCAGAAGACAGGAGGGGGCAUAGUUUAAGUAUCACAUAGAAAAAUGGAAUCUCUCAAACUAGGUAAGACUGUAAGUCAAUCACAUAUUUCUAGUCAAGCCAUACAUCCCAUUUUAACAACCUGUAGAGGCCCAUAAGCAGUCAUGGUAUGGUCUAUAAUUCAUCAUAUUUCACCUUGAUCAUAAUCUGUAAGCCAUUUGCAUUGAAACGUCCUUACAACUGAAAAGGAUGAAAGAGUGAAGCAUGAGAAAGAUUAUGCUGGGUUCGACACAAAAGCAUUACGGUCGUGCUGUGAGAACAUAUUCAGCAAAUGUGGGGAAGUACUCAAGAGAAAAGGGAAGUGGAUUCUGCAAGAACAAUGAGGCUAUUAUUCACUAAGGUAGUGGGAAGGGAGGUCUGUAUAGUAUAGUGAAACCAGCCUGGGGUCAUUGCACAAUAUUUAAUAAUGCUGAGUAUUUACAAACAGUAGCCCUUUGCGUGUUCAAAGCACUAUCUCAUGCCUGGACAAUGAUAAACAUCCCUCACAAUGUGAAAUACAAUAUUCUCAAGCACUUUUCACUUCAGCAUCUAAUGAAGAAUGAGCACUAUGUUUGAAUAAAAGAUUAUGGCUGUGAUUUCCCUUGCCAGAAUGAUUCAAAGAUAUGCACAGGGAGCUGUGAAGCAUACUCAGUAGUGGAAUGUUUGUGCAAUGGCAAGCACAUCGCAGCUAAUGCAAAGCAGCUUUAUCUUUAACUCUUAGAGGGCUGGUUCAGACCAUAGUGCCCUCCACGGUCCUGUCGAGACAGGAAAUUAAAAAAAAAAGUCAAGAUCAUGUAAUUAAUCAAAAGAAACUAAUUAGAGAUACAGGAAUUAAUAGGAAAACAAGCUAAAUUGUCAUCACAAAAAUUCACUAGAACACACUAGGGAAGAAUAGGAGAGAAAAAUCUUCCUUCUAUAAUCAGCAAACAUCAAAAGGGAAAAAAUUAGGAUAUUUUGCAUGUGUUUUUCCAGCAGUGCUGAGGACUUACAGCUUCCUUUGGCUUCAUAUGCAGUUUCAGUGUUUAGCAUUUCUGAAAGCAGGUCCAAAUUGACUUGGGUUGGGCACUCAAAACUGAAGCACUAGAAAUCAGUGGCCACUUUAAAAAAAUUGGCCCACAUCUUUCACAAGAAAUAAUUUUUAUGGCUGUUCAAACCUUACGAUCUAGUUUGAGUCAUGAAAGACCUUAGGGAUAAGAUGAAUGAGGUGGAGAGACAAAAUGAAAGUACUACACCCUACAUUUUCCAAAAUGGCUUCUUAUUUUAGAGGCCCAGCUAGAGUCACAUGGUGCCUGAUUUUUAAAAGUGCUCCUCUGAAAACGAGGCCAAAGUUGACUUAAACUGAGCACCAAAAAUUGAGCACUGAGUGGUCACUUGAAAAUAUUGGCUUUGGAAGCUGCCUCUUCUGCCAUUUGUUUAGGAUAGGUCUCUGAUCAACCAUUUCAAUACAAUUGCUGGCAGAGACUGCGCAGGGAACCCAAAGCAGGUAAAUCUAUUUCCCAUAUAAUUAAUUCUCUUUGGUGUUUCAGUUCAGUAGACUGAGUUCUGAGAAACUUUUCAUGGGCAACUGCUGUGCAAGCCUACUCAAACUGCAGGGUAAUGUACUUCAUUCCUAACCCUGAGGACCACCCUUGCAAGCAAGGUGACAGCUCAGUCUCCAUGUCCCACUCAGUCCUUGGCAUCUCUGCUGGGACUGCCAGAGGUGCUGAUUGUGAUGGCUGUUUUGUUUUUGUUUAAGAAAUGUGGAUACUUUCCUAUUUGGAAAUGGAUGGAAACCACUCGUCUCGUUGCAAGAGUGAUGGAUGACUAAUCGGGAUUUGCAGAAGUUGCUUAUGGCAGAUUUCCAUCUCUUUUUCCAUGAUCAUUUAAUACAGUGGGUACGCAGAGACUGGGUUUUGUUCUCUGGGGUCAUACUUACAUUUUAACACAGAAAUGCUGUAACUUUGGUUUCUCGAUUUGGGGCAAAAUCUUUCCUUUGCUAGGCUGUGCCAUGUUAUAAGGGUGGAGGAAUGAUAGCAGUACCAGAGCAGAGCAGCAACAUGCUCAGCAGCACUUCUUACUGCUGCUUCAAACAGGAAGACCACAUACACCCAUAUCCACAGCCUGCUACAUAUGGCAGCAUAUGCAUGGAGGAGGGAAGGACCUGGCUAUUCCCAAAACAGGUGUAGCACACUUCUUGGGUCAACAUUGUGUUAGCUGGGUCCUGGUCUAGCACUGAAGGGAGCACAGGACUGUAAUCCUACCCUGCUGUUGCACAGGUGAAGAUUUUCUUUGCAUCCAUUUUCCUUCGAGCACACCUACAGUAGGCAGGACAGGAUUUUGCCCUGGCUGGGCUACUCUGAACCUGUUUAGUUCUGCACUCCUGUGGUUUCUAUUGACUGUAUUGUAUCAACAGGCAAAACCUUUAGGAAGCCACAGCAAAAUACCAGGGCUGUAAAGCACAGGAAACUAGAACAAGGCAAGAUGCAAAGUGGAUGAUUUUAAUACUGACCCAGAUAGUGCUAGAUAACGUCAUUUAAAUAAUUUCCCUGCCUUCUCCCUUAAAGACUUACUCCUCUCAGCACCACUUUUUGUAGGGCAGGGAGGAUCAAGCAAUAGUGGUCACUGAUGUACAGUGCUGACUCAUUGGCUUUUCUUCUAUACCCUCACCAUGGAUCCAGUCUGCCAGUUUACAGAUGGGGAAAUGACAGCAUAUCUCUCAACUCCACUCUGCUCCUAGUAGGUCAACAUGAAAAGCCAGAUCCUUUGAGACUUUCUGCAAGAAUGUCUUUUCCAAAUACCUGUUCAACUGCACUUAGCUCCUCAAAGUCUCUCAUAAAAGUUCAGUACUAUUGAGGCUACAUGAUGCAAAGACUGGCUGGGGGUCAGAUUGGGGUUCUGCUUCAGGCACCUGACUUCAUGCAUCUUGCAGAUGAAUAUGAAGAACACACUUUUUUGAUUUGUUGGGUACGAUAGACUUAAAUGAUCAGGUAAGAGAAGUAAUAAAAUAUUUCAUCUGGGAAAUGACCUAGAAAAUUCAAUUGUCCUCUGAAGAGCACUUGUGCCAAAUUUGGAAACUUAAUUAAUUAAACAAACAAACUGUGAAA